GUUUACAGCCAUGCCACCCUGAACGUGCCCGAUCUCGUCUGAUCUCAGAAGCUAAGCAGGGUCAGGCCUGGUUAGUACUUGGAUGGGAGACCACCUCGGAAUACCAGGUGCAGUAAAAG
rnacentral:rRNA from 1 species